CGCGGCCUAUCAGCUUGUUGGUGAGGUAAUGGCUCACCAAGGCUUCGACGGGUAGCCGGCCUGAGAGGGCGACCGGCCACACUGGGACUGAGAUACGGCCCAGACUCCUACGGGAGGCAGCAGUGGGGAAUAUUGCACAAUGGGCGCAAGCCUGAUGCAGCAACGCCGCGUGCGGGAUGACGGCCUUCGGGUUGUAAACCGCUCUCAGUAGGGACGAAGCUAACGUGACGGUACCUACAGAAGAAGGACCGGCUAACUACGUGCCAGCAGCCGCGGUGAUACGUAGGGUCCGAGCGUUGUCCGGAAUUAUUGGGCGUAAAGGGCUUGUAGGCGGUCCGUCGCGUCAGGAGUGAAAACUCGGGGCUUAACCCCGAGCCUGCUUUUGAUACGGGCGGACUGGAGGGAUGCAGGGGAGAACGGAAUUCCUGGUGGAGCGGUGGAAUGCGCAGAUAUCAGGAGGAACACCGGUGGCGAAGGCGGUUCUCUGGGCAUCACCUGACGCUGAGAAGCGAAAGCGUGGGGAGCAAACAGGCUUAGAUACCCUGGUAGUCCGCGCCGUAAACGGUGGGCACUGGGUGUGGGGGACAUUCCACGUUCUCCGUGCCGAAGCUAACGCAUUAAGUGCCCCGCCUGGGGAGUACGG
rnacentral:rRNA from 1 species